CAUGACCAUACCCUCCCCUAUUUUCUCUGUGUCGCCGACCAUGGCGCCCAUGGCAACCACGAGGCUGGAAGGGGUCUCAUGGACCCGAGAGUGCGAGAGGAGCAACAGCGCUGGCGGUGACGCCCCAGGAAGACCGUAGUGUGGUGCUCUGCUCUAUGGAUUCCUCUGCCAUGGAGUUCAAAGUUUUUUUCAUUUUUGUUUCAGAUUUUUGAUGUGCAAAAAUACAGUUCAGUGCAGUUCUUUCUUCUCUUUGAGCUUAGGUUCUCUGGAUGAUGUUUGCAUCCGGGUUGUAAAAUUUUGCCUGCGUCAAGUGCAAUUCAGAACUUACAAGUUCCGCUGUCAGUCUCCUGUGUAGUUCAUUACAGUAGAAUUUUAAUACUAUGUUCGAUUCAGUUAUCUUUUUCUGCUCUAUGUCGUGAGGCUGCAGUCCCGCGAUCUCCUGCUUACCGGCGUCAACCCGGUCGAUCCAGGUAGUUGGGUGGGGAUUGGGGGUGUAACCGGGCAUCCAGAUAAUGAGUUCCCGCCGUGAGCUGGUGCUCUGCUCCUCGCCGCUGGUGGUCGUGCUACAGCGACGUGCAGUUCGCCGGGCUGUGUCGUGCGGUUCGCCGGGCCGUGGAGUGUGGUUUACCGGCCGGCAGCGUGCGGUUCGCCGGGCUGUGUGUGUGUUGCUUUGGCUAGGAACUGGUUCACCAGAUCACUCCUUCAACAAGAGCUAGCUAGAUGUGCAUGAGUUUCAUGCGUUUAUGUUUCGGGCAGCAGAAUUAACGAGCACUCACAAAGGACAAGCCAUCAAGGUGUUUUUCUGCGCAUAUGUCGUUCAAGUGGAAGAUGGGGCACUGUGCCUUCUCCAACUCCUUCCGAUCUGCUGAUCAAGUCAAGAGAAUAAGAGCAGUGGAGAUUACCUUUUCUUGCUAAACUUUCCCGUCAAUGCCUAAUAUGCGUGCUUUUCUUCCUAAUGGUGUCAUGCUUCGAUUUGAUUUCUUACGUGAGGAAGUGAAUAGCAGUGAUUAUUGCACAUGCUUAUACAUUUCAAAUGGAUUGCUAGGUUAAAUGGUAUAGCGUUCAAAGAUCUUAGUUUUUCUGAACGGUCUAAUAACUAUUCAGUUUACUAAACUGCUGAACUGCUUCUUUGGGUCUGAAUUUGCUGAAUUGUCGAACGGUCUAAGAAUUAUUCAGUUUACUAAACUGCUAAACUGCUUCUUUGGGUCUGAAUUUUCUGAAUUGCUUCUUUGUGUCAAAAUUGCUAGGUACCCUGGAAUAUACGGAAGCGCGGAAACUCCAAGCUCUUCCAGGAUGUUUUUGAGGAAUUGCACAUUACUGCUAGCAAGAUUGCUGAUGAUCUUAUGUUGCAGUCCAACAGUUUUCAGUUUAUGAAGUGUUUCAGGCCGGUGUAAGCCUGUUGUAGUCCCUGUAAGUGACGCAUCACCCUCUCUUAACUGAAUAGACACCGUGGCGUCGAUGAGACGCUUCGACCCAUGCUGGCCGUCGUUCCCUACCACUGAGAUGAAGAAGAAACGGCUGGCUUACCAAUCACUUAAGCAUCCAGAGUUUCGGCGCCCAACUAUUGAAGAAGGCUCAGACUGAUGGAGUUGUCCCAAACAAGGCACAGACCUGACUCCUUUCCGCUCCUGGAGUCCUUGCAUGCCUUCAAAGCAUGUAAUCUUAGUCCCUCUCAAUAGCGCAUGUGUUGCCAUUGUCCCUCUCAAUAAGUCCCUCACCGGUGGUUACACACAGGCGCGCCCACGAACUGCUCGGCCAGGGGAGAAAACAGAGCAGUGGUGUUCGGUUAGAACAGAGGGAGGACACACGGUCAGGUUUCAGGAACCAAUGCCUUCAUAUUUUUUCUCUUUGUACUGAGUGCUGGCUAAAUAAGCACAACCCUCUUAUUACAAGGUUAGAUCAACUCAACACCAGCAAUAACGGCUUGAAAUGAGCUAGGUUGGCCAAGACUAGACAUUAUGGAUUUGGUACUGUAUAUAUACUGGAAAAUGAUAGCAUGGUCUUUGUAUGGUUAUUUUUUGAAUUAGCAACACUGUACGGUCUUCCUCGGCAGUGCACAUACUAAUGAUUA